CACAAUGAUAUGUGAUUUGUCGUACAUGAUUUUUUUUAUUUUUAUUUUUGAAUAGAAUGUUAAAUUAAAUUCAAAAGAAAGGUAUAGCGUUGUUACAACUAGUGCAACUUUUUUAAAAAUUUACAAAAGAAAAAAACAGAGAUUCUUGAUCUAGCUUAUGUUCCUCAGAGCGAGACAGAGUUGGAAUCUCCUAUCGUAUCUGUGGUGGCCAUUAGCUUUAAGUACCGAGAGCUGAUUACGGAUGAGUUUAUCAAUCCACGAGACUAAACGACUUGCUGAAUGUGGUGGUGUGCCAUGCUUUCGAUCAUUUCUCUCCCGCCAAAUAGAGUGGAUCGAAGCUUGAUUAAC
rnacentral:sRNA from 1 species